rnacentral:rRNA from 1 species
UCUGGGAAACUGCCUGAUGGAGGGGGAUAACUACUGGAAACGGUAGCUAAUACCGCAUAACGUCGCAAGACCAAAGAGGGGGACCUUCGGGCCUCUUGCCAUCAGAUGUGCCCAGAUGGGAUUAGCUAGUAGGUGGGGUAACGGCUCACCUAGGCGACGAUCCCUAGCUGGUCUGAGAGGAUGACCAGCCACACUGGAACUGAGACACGGUCCAGACUCCUACGGGAGGCAGCAGUGGGGAAUAUUGCACAAUGGGCGCAAGCCUGAUGCAGCCAUGCCGCGUGUAUGAAGAAGGCCUUCGGGUUGUAAAGUACUUUCAGCGGGGAGGAAGGUGUUGUGGUUAAUAACCACAGCAAUUGACGUUACCCGCAGAAGAAGCACCGGCUAACUCCGUGCCAGCAGCCGCGGUAAUACGGAGGGUGCAAGCGUUAAUCGGAAUUACUGGGCGUAAAGCGCACGCAGGCGGUCUGUCAAGUCGGAUGUGAAAUCCCCGGGCUCAACCUGGGAACUGCAUUCGAAACUGGCAGGCUAGAGUCUUGUAGAGGGGGUUAGAAUUCCAGGUGUAGCGGUGAAAUGCGUAGAGAUCUGGAGGAAUACCGGUGGCGAAGGCGGCCCCUGGACAAAGACUGACGCUCAGGUGCGAAAGCGUGGGGAGCAAACAGGAUUAGAU